rnacentral:rRNA from 1 species
CCUACGGGAGGCAGCAGUGAGGAAUUUUCCGCAAUGGGCGAAAGCCUGACGGAGCAAUACCGCGUGAGGGAUGAAGGAUUUUGGUCUGUAAACCUCUUUUCUCAAGAAAGAAGUUCUGACGGUACUUGAGGAAUAAGCAUCGGCUAACUCCGUGCCAGCAGCCGCGGUAAUACGGGGGAUGCAAGCAUUAUCCGGAAUGAUUGGGCGUAAAGCGCCUGUAGGUUGUUUAUUAAGUCCGUUGUUAAAGCCUAGGGCUUAACCCUAGAAAAGCAAUGGAAACUAGUAGACUAGAGUAUGGCAGGGGUAGAGGGAAUUUCUAGUGUAGCGGUGAAAUGCGUAGAUAUUAGAAAGAACACCGGUGGCGAAAGCGCUCUACUGGACCAUUACUGACGCUCAGAGGCGAAAGCUAGGGUAGCAAAAGGGAUUAGAUACCCCUGUAGUCCUAGCCGUAAACGAUGGAUACUAGAUGUUGUGCAUUAUGUACAGUAUCGUAGCUAACGCGUUAAGUAUCCCGCCUGGGGAGUACGCUCGCAAGGGUGAAACGUCAAAGGAAUUAGACAG